GUCUACGGCCAUACCAUCCUGAACGCGCCCGAUCUCGUCUGAUCUCAGAGUAAGCAGCAAAAAGCGUCUCAGGAGCUGCUCCGGUGCUGCCUGAGAUGCUGCCUUCCUCUCUGCGGUGCCGGGGACA
rnacentral:rRNA from 1 species